CGCACGGGUGAGUAAUACGUAUGCAACCUGCCUGCCACAGCCGGAUAAUCGGGAGAAAUUCCGUCUAAUACGGCAUAAUGCAUCGACGGGACAUCCUGUUGGUGCCAAAGGUUGAUUCCGGUGGCGGAUGGGCAUGCGUCGCAUUAGUUAGUUGGCGGUGUAACGGACCACCAAGACGACGAUGCGUAGGGGUUCUGAGAGGAAGGUCCCCCACACUGGUACUGAGACACGGACCAGACUCCUACGGGAGGCAGCAG
rnacentral:rRNA from 1 species